UUCUGAAUUAGAUACUAAUAAAAUCUGUUACGAGCACUCCAUAUAAGAUAUGAAAAUGGCAAAAGGGCAGGUUGCCAGCUUAUGUGAAAAGAGUUGAUGUAUAUAAGUUUGUGCUAAAACAGGUUCAUAUAUAUUUAUAGAUUAUCCUAAAGAAUAGUAUGAGAUACUAUUUCUACCACCCUACUAGACAAAAUAUGUUUUGUCAGUAGGUAUCUCAUCUUUUAGAAAUAUAAAAAUUUUCUAAGACAGGC
rnacentral:lncRNA from 1 species